rnacentral:rRNA from 1 species
ACCCCUACGGGGGGCAGCAGUGGGGGAUAUUGCACAAUGGAGGAAACUCUGAUGCAGCAACGCCGCGUGAGGGAAGAAGGUUUUCGGAUUGUAAACCUCUGUCCUUGGUGAAGAUAAUGACAGUAGCCAAGGAGGAAGCUCCGGCUAACUACGUGCCAGCAGCCGCGGUAA